rnacentral:rRNA from 1 species
UACAGAGGGGGCGAGCGUUGUUCGGAAUUACUGGGCGUAAAGGGCGCGUAGGCGGCCUGCUAAGUCAUACGUGAAAUCCCUCGGCUUAACCGGGGAACUGCGUCUGAUACUGGAUGGCUUGAAUCCGGGAGAGGGAUGCGGAAUUCCAGGUGUAGCGGUGAAAUGCGUAGAUAUCAGGAAGAACACCCGUGGCGAAGGCGGCUCUCUGGGACGGUACUGACGCUGAGACGCGAAAGCGUGGGGAGCGAACAGG